rnacentral:rRNA from 1 species
UUGGUAAAUCUCGUGCCAGCAGCCGCGGUUAUACGAGAGGCCCUAGUUGAUAUAACAACGGCGUAAAGGGUGGUUAGGGAUAAAACAAAACUAAAGCCAAAGCCCUCUUGAGCUGUUAUACGCAUUCCAGAGGCACGAAGCCCAAAAACGAAAGUAGCUUUAUUAUUAUCCUGACCCCACGAAAGCUAAGAAACAAACUAGGAUUAGAUACCCCAC